CCAUGUCUUUUGAGUACCUUCGUUUCCUCGGCGGGUCCGCCCGCCGAUUGGACAAUUUAAACCAUUUGCAGUUGCAAUCAGCGUCUGAAAAAACUUAAUAGUUACAACUUUCAACAACGGAUCUCUUGGUUCUGGCAUCGAUGAAGAACGCAGCGAAAUGCGAUAAGUAGUGUGAAUUGCAGAAUUCAGUGAAUCAUCGAAUCUUUGAACGCACAUUGCGCCCCUUGGUAUUCCAUGGGGCAUGCCUGUUCGAGCGUCAUUUGUACCUUCAAGCUCUGCUUGGUGUUGGGUGUUUGUCUCGCCUCUGCGCGUAGACUCGCCUCAAAACAAUUGGCAGCCGGCGUAUUGAUUUCGGAGCGCAGUACAUCUCGCGCUUUGCACUCAUAACGACGACGUCCAAAAGUACAUUUUUACACUCUUGACCUCGGAUCAGGUAGGGAUACCCGCUGAACUUAAGCAUAUCAAAACG
rnacentral:rRNA from 1 species